rnacentral:rRNA from 1 species
UACGAAGGGUGCUAGCGUUGUUCGGAAUUACUGGGCGUAAAGAGCGCGUAGGCGGUUAUACAAGUCAGGGGGGAAAUCCCGGAGCUUAACUCCGGAACUGCCUUUGAAACUGUAUAGCUGGAGUGUGUGAGGGGAUAGCGGAAUUCCUAAUGUAGAGGUGAAAUUCGUAGAUAUUAGGAGGAACACCGGUGGCGAAGGCGGCUAUCUGGCGCACAACUGACGCUGAGGCGCGAAAGCGUGGGGAUCAAACAGG